CCUACGGGGUGCUGCAGUGGGGAAUAUUGGACAAUGGGCGAAAGCCUGAUCCAGCCAUGCCGCGUGUGUGAAGAAGGCCUUCGGGUUGUAAAGCACUUUCAGUGGGGAAGAAAGCCUUGGGGCUAAUACCCUCGAGGAAGGACAUCACCCACAGAAGAAGCACCGGCUAACUCCGUGCCAGCAGCCGCGGUAAUACGGAGGGUGCGAGCGUUAAUCGGAAUUACUGGGCGUAAAGCGCGCGUAGGCGGUCUGAUAAGCCGGUUGUGAAAGCCCCGGGCUCAACCUGGGAACGGCAUCCGGAACUGUCAGGCUAGAGUGCAGGAGAGGAAGGUAGAAUUCCCGGUGUAGCGGUGAAAUGCGUAGAGAUCGGGAGGAAUACCAGUGGCGAAGGCGGUCUUCUGGACUGACACUGACGCUGAGGUGCGAAAGCGUGGGUAGCAAACAGGAUUAGAUACCCUAGUAGUC
rnacentral:rRNA from 1 species